rnacentral:misc_RNA from 1 species
GAAAUGCGAUAAGUAAUGUGAAUUGCAGAAUUCAGUGAAUCAUCGAAUCUUUGAACGCACAUUGCGCCCCCUGGUAUUCCGGGGGGCAUGCCUGUUCGAGCGUCAUUUCACCACUCAAGCCUCGCUUGGUAUUGGGCAACGCGGUCCGCCGCGUGCCUCAAAUCGACCGGCUGGGUCUUCUGUCCCCUAAGCGUUGUGGAAACUAUUCGCUAAAGGGUGUUCGGGAGGCUACGCCGUAAAACAACCCCAUUUCUAAGGUUACCUCGGAUCAGGUAGGGAUACCCGCUGAACUUAAGC